rnacentral:lncRNA from 1 species
GAAGGAAGGAAGGAAGGAAGGAAGGAAGGAAGGAAGGAAGGAAGAAAGGAUUGGUGAUUUCCAUGGAAUUCCCUUCAGACUCAGUAAAGACCUGAGCGUGGUGGAUUUCAGAAAGAAUGAGUCUGCAGCUUGGAGCUCUCCUGCAAGCUUUCACUGCUCUGCUGGCCAAGUCACCGCAACAUCGGCAUCUCCCAACUGCAGGAUCCUCCUCUUCCCAGUGCCCACACAGAUCUGCCUAAUGCCCAACUCCUCACCUCAAAAUAAAAUCCACAGGUCAAAUUCUUUCCAGCCAGGAAGCCCCAUUUUCUCAAAGCAGGAGUCUUCUAUGGGAAUGCUCUGCCUCUGUUAG